rnacentral:rRNA from 1 species
AUGGCGGUCUGGCUGGCGUCGCCGUCGAUGAGGACGCCGUCCACGAGGAGGUACGAGAGCGGGUUGAGGCGGUACGUUCCGGCGUCGGUGGAGGUGAAGACGCCCGCCGUGGCGAGCUGGCGGAGCAGGCGGGCGAGGAACGGCAGCUUGGAGGCGGGCAGGGACAGGGCGGCGACGAGCUCGGACGGGGACGCGGCGCCGCCAAGGCGGUGGAUGGCGGUGGGGACGCCGAGGUCGACGGCGCAGCGGAGCGACAUGGGCGUGAGGUAG